rnacentral:rRNA from 1 species
GACGAACCUUGCUAACGUUAUUCGGAAUUACUGGGCUUAAAGGGCGCGUAGGCGGGAUGGCAAGUCGGUCGUGAAAUCCCUCGGCUCAACCGAGGAACGUCGAUCGAUACUGCUGUUCUUGAGGAUUGCAGAGGAGACUGGAAUUCCCGGUGUAGCGGUGAAAUGCGUAGAGAUCGGGAGGAAGGCCGGUGGCGAAGGCGGCGCUCUGGAACGUUUCUGACACUGAGGCUCGAAAGCGUGGGGAGCAAACAGG